CAAGAUGACUUGGUCACAGACGUCACUUUAAGGUCCACAACUGGUCCAGGGGUUUCUAAAGCAAAGGAGAAACGAUACGUCUAAGCCCUGGAUAACCAAGGUCGGAUGAGGCUUUCCAUACACGUGGGCUUCAAUUCGGAGUUUCUUCCCAGCUUUGAUAGUAAUUUGCUCUGGCAUAAGGAUCUUGGGUGGCACUAAAAUAACUUCCAGUUUCCUGGGGGGAUCCGGCUCACCUAGAAGAAAAAACCACCCAGGUAAC